GGUGCAGUGACAAGUUCGAGUGACACUGUCCACUGCCAAUUGCAUAUGCUUUUUGUGAUUAGAUGACCGCAGCCUUUCACCUCCAAAGAUUUUCCAACUUUUCCCUAUCAGUAGACAAGAGAACAAGUACAACACUUACGUGGUAUUAUCACUAUUGCAGCUAAGCUGCAAAUAUAUUGAAGGUUCUAGCAGUUGUUGCAACAAAUGUUGCAGAUGACGCAGAGCUGAAUGCCAACCAUCAUAAGCUAGCACUUAUCAGUCUUUGUUUUCUAUUGUCUGGAGUUAAUUUAAAUUUAAAAAAAAAUCAUGUGCAACCCAGACUGCCUAAGUGUCUUGUGGUUCAAUAGGUCAUCGUAGGCACAUAAUUGUGUUUGCUACUGGACUUAAGCUCCCUGAACCAUAGUGCAAACCUUUGUGGAAGCAAACAUGCCAUGCUGUUAUCAAAACUGGCCUGCUUCUAUAUCCCGUUGUAUGCUGGUGCUGAAGUGCAGCGAAGCAUUGCACGUGAACUCUAGACCACAAAGCUCGGUUCCGCGAUGCUGAAAUCAAUUGCGUCCACGGAUGAUAGUACCACAGGUGGGUUAACAAAAGUUUCAUUACAUUGCCUAUGUCUUUUGUGCUGUCGAACAGCCAGAUUACGCCAAGGAGGGGAAAAGGCUCACGUGAAACCUCUGAUAUCAAUAUAGGGCGCAGUGCCCACAUGCUUGCAUUCAGGCACACUAUAAAGAACCCCAGGUUGUCCUAAGCUCAGUCCUCCACUACGGCAUGCCUCAUAAUCUUGGUUCUAGCACGUAAAGCCAUAGAAUUUUAAUGUAAAUAUGAUAAAGAGCUCGCAUGAAGCUUGAACCUAAUCAGUAGCCUCCGUUAGUGCUGGAUACUUCCACAGCGUAUGGCAUUAAGUAAUGGCAUUUCUAGCACUUUGCUAGUCGCACAUUUCUCAAGUACACAUUUCACAACUUGCACGUUCAAUUCCAAGCUCCAGGCUUCGUGCCUGGCAGCUUAUCAUAACAAUAUUUGCUCUUGCCAGUGUGCAGGGCUUGUAAAGUUUAGUUAACUUGAAUAGAGACCUCGCUUUCUUAAUUAUCAGAAAUGGCUCGUUUAAAAGAUGGUAACGGAAAUGAUAAUUUCUUGUUUUGCAACUCUUAACUGCCUCCUUUGUUUUUUCAGGUUGAAGCACUUUUCCUGUGAAGGAGUGAGCAUUCAACUUUCUUUGAGGAUGGGCAUCAUUGCUGGACAGCCAGUGGGAACAGGGUGCUUCUGGUACUACCUAAAACUGGUUGCAGCCCAACAACCAUGUUGGUGUUCAAGGCCCCCAAGACUGGCGAUGGACGCAUGUCCCUUGUAACACCUGUAGACCGGCGAUAAAAAUAAAGAAUAUGUCAAGAUGUA
rnacentral:lncRNA from 1 species